GCAGAAGCCAGGCUGGCCGAGAAUGCAGAGCUCCUUCCCUGGCGGAGCUGGAGACAGAUGGGCACUGGGAAGGACACAUGGAAAAAUGAUUCCCAAGCAAUUUCCAGGAAGAAUAUUCUAUCUAGUUCCCUCUCACCUCCCACUACCUCCAUUUUAUAAACUGGGAAACUGAGGCCAGAGAGGUGCCGCUUAUCUCUCUACAGGGCUGGAAGAAAGCCAUACUUCUGACUCCAGGAAGUGCUUUGGUGGAGCUGGACCGGCUUCUGAGCUGUCUGUGGCGUGAGGCUGGGAUAAGUGUUUGGUCACCUGGGAUGGGGAGCCACUGGCCUGAGGUGACACAGACAAAGGGGAGCCAGGAGAACCUGUCCUGGCUCACUGUGGAGCACCCCGACCCUGCUCCCCUGCAGCAGGCUCAGCUAUAAGGCAUUGCCAGCCUAGCCCCGCGGUUUCUUUUGCUGGGAUAAAUUCAGUGGAAGGAGCUGUGUAAAGGCACAGGCCCUGCCCCACAGAGAAUCCUUGUCACUUACAUGCUCCAAGAGGUCUCAGAACUAGGGGACUUCCUCCCCUCCCUCCUCCUUGUCUGGAGCUGGCAUUAGGCCCCACAUCUUCCAGACCCAAGAAGGGCAUUUACUCCAGGAGAUGGCUGGGCAGACCCUCAGUAGGUAUUCCACGAAAGUGUUCAUGGCUUAAACCCAACACUUGAUUUCUCCCUGAGCCAGUCUCUGUGAAUGUCCUCACCAUCGUCCUGUGUCACUCCUGGCCUCCUGCUAACAACCAAAUCUAUUGACUCUCCAGAUCCCCAAUGUCUCCAUGUCACACUACUUCCAUUGCCACCAUUCCUGUCUGUAUCCUUGUCUUAGGUCCACCAGAUGACCGGCUGGCCUCCUAAUUGGGCUUCCUGCAUUCCUGCCUGUGCUCGGAGCUCCCUUCUCCACUUGCCUGCUGGAGGAGGUUUACAAACAAAAUCAGAUCAUGGCACUCCCCUGGGGCCCUGCAUCCUGUGGCCAGCAGGUCUUGGAAACGCCCCUGUACCCCAGAAACUUCCUGAUCAGUCCCUGGUCAGUGUAUAUCAUGCUUCCUGUGACAUGACAUCAACUUUUCAGUGACUUCCACUGGUUUUGGCCCAGCUCGAAGAGCCUGACACCUCUGCAGGGAAUUCUACCAGGGAGCUCAGGAGGGGGAAUUGCACUGAAGAUUUGUCCCAUCGUGAAGCAAGAGCACUGGAACUUACACUCCACCAUCAGGCCCUGUCACAGGAGAACAAAGAAGGAAGGCAGAGGAGAUCAUGCUCCGGCCAGCAGGGAAUCUCCAUUUUUUUCAGCCUCAUACCUUGGAAAGUACAAAGGAGUGAGAGCUGGGACUACCAGCCAGAGGGUUCAUGGAGGUAGUGGGAGGGGAAGAUGGGUUCUGCAUGGAGCCACUCCAGGGACUUUUCUUCUGUCUCACAGCCUGACAAUCACCUCUAGCUGUUCUCAGUCCCAUUCUCAUCAAUGACCUCGUCUCCUGAUUUUGUACAAUAUCUAGGUGACCUUCUCUUCUUUCCAUCUUCAAACGCUUGAUCAUUGAUGCUCCCUUUUCUCUUCUCUCUCCUCCUGGGAAAAGAGAAGGACCAACAUCCCCCUUUCCCUUCCUCCUGUGCUGUCCCGACCCCUCUGAGACCUGGCUCUAGCAGUAAGUCCCUCUCUCUUCUGCAGCACCAGCCUCUGCCCAUCCCUGCCCUCUGCACACAAAGCUCUCACAUUGUCUGCACUUUAAGAACUUUUGUGGCAAACCCUGGCAAAUCCUGCCACUUGUUUCCACUCUUCUCAAAUGGCUUUGAGGUCAUCAUUGACCUAUCCCAUUUGACCCUGUCCUGUAUCUGAUGUUGUACCCUUUCUCCUUGAUCCCACUCUGGCAACUCUCCCACUCCCCUUUCUUGGAUCAACUGUCUUGCUCCUCAGUCUUGAUCAAUGCCUCCUUCUCUCUCUUUAGCCUUGGCCCUUUUUGGCCAGGGAAAUAAAUGUGAAAUACAUAAAGCUUCAUUUUAUCUUAUGAUUAUAGCUAUGUUGAUGUUACCCAAGACCUAAAAGUCACACUCUCUAAUUACACUUCCCUCCUGUGUUCUGGGUCCUCUUGGACCAGUCCUUACUCUGGCUCCCCUCCUGGAUGUCUCCCAGACUUCUAAUUAGAAUUACUGUUUCCUAUAUCAAGCUAAUUAUCUUUCCCACCAACCUCCUCCAUCCUUGGGUGAAAGCAUCACUUGGUUGCAAAAGUCAGAAAUCUGGGUUUCAUUCUUGCGGUAGGUAGAAUAAUGCCCCCAGGCCCCAGGUUUUGACAUCCGAAUCCCUGGGACUUUGCAGAUGUGAUUCAGUUUAGGAUUUUGAGAUGGGGAGAUUAUCUGGGAGAGCCUGAUGUCAUCAUAAGGUUCUUAUAAGAGGGAGGCAGGAGGGUUAGAGUGAGUAGUAAGAGAUGCAACAGUGGAAGCAAGAGGUUGGGGUGAUGUGGCCACAAGCCCAGGAGUGCUGACAGACAUCAGAAGCUGGAAGGGACAAGGAAUGGUUUCUCCUCUGGAGCCUCCAGAAAGAACCAGCCCUGCUGACACCUUGAUUUUAGCCUUGGAAGACUCAUUUUGGACUUCUGACCUUGAACGUUGUAAGAGAAUAAAUUUACAUAUUUUAAACUGGUAUGUUUAUGGUAAUUUUUUAACAGAAGCCGUAGGAAAGGAAUCCGAUCCUGAUGCUGUUUCUCCAUCACUAGCUGCACUCAUUUGGCCCCUAGUCCAAUCAAUUUUAUCUCCAAAAUACCUUUCAGGUUAGCUCCUCCUUUCUGCCUCAAGCCUAUGUAAUCAUUAUUUCUCCUAAGAGGUCCUGCAAUGAUCUUUUAACUGAUCACCCUAUUAUUCCGUGCCAUCCCUGUCACUGUGUCAAGAGUUAGGAUCUGAUCUGCAUUUCAUGAAAAUGAUAGUCCUCUCUCCACAACUUUGCAGGCUAAAGCAGGGAGUUUAAUUACUCAGGCUAUGGGGGGCCCUGGAAUGUGCUCUAUGACCAGUCACUAGCCUCUCUCUCCUGCCCAGAUCCCUACCUCACACCCUACCAUUUAGGCAAUGGGGGUAAUGGCAGUGGGCACUUUGUCCAUGUGGUUUCAUCACCCUGACAUACUCUCCUGUGACUUCUACCAACCCUUCAAGAGUCUGCACCUUCUUUGGGCCUCAGCUUUCUCAUCUGUACCAUCAAGGGGCUUAUCCAGAUGAGCUCAAAGCUCUAUGGAACUCCUCAGCCUGAAUAAUUGAACAGAGUAGAUUUCAUUCACC
rnacentral:lncRNA from 10 species